rnacentral:rRNA from 1 species
UGAAUCAUCGAAUCCUUGAACGCACAUUGCGCCCGCUAGUAUUCUGGCGGGCAUGCCUGUCUGAGCGUCAUUUCACCAAUCCCCCUGGGCUUCUUGUCCCGGGGGCUGUUGGGGAUCGCCGAGCGUACACUCGGCGUCCCCUAAACCUAGUGGCAGCCUCGCCGCGGCCUCCCCUGCGUAGUAAACACUCUCGCAGGCGGAACCACAGCGAAGGGUCGCCGUAAAACCCCCAACUUCUUAAUGGUUGACCUCAGAUCAGGUAGGAAUACCCGCUGAACUUAAGCAUAUCAAUAAGCGGAGGAAAAGAAACCAACAGGGAUUGCCUCAGUAACGGCGAGUGAAGCGGCAACAGCUCAAAUUUGAAAUCUGGCCUCACGGUCCGAGUUGUAAUUUGCAGAGGAUGUUUCUGGCAAGGUGCCUUCCGAGUUCCCUGGAACGGGACGCCAUAGAGGGUGAGAGCCCCGUCCGGUUGGUCGCCGCGCCUCUGUGAAACUCCUUCGACGAGUCGAGUAGUUUGGGAAUGCUGCUCUAAAUGGGAGGUAUACGUCUUCUAAAGCUAAAUAUUGGCCAGAGACCGAUAGCGCACAAGUAGAGUGAUCGAAAGAUGAAAAGCACUUUGAAAAGAGGGUUAAAAAGUACGUGAAAUUGUUGAAAGGGAAGCACUCAUGACCAGACUUGGGCCGGUUGAUCAUCCGCCGUUCUCGGCGGUGCACUCUGCCGGCCCAGGCCAGCAUCAGUUCGUCCCGGGGGAUAAAGGUUUCGGGAAUGUGGCUCCUCCGGGAGUGUUAUAGCCCGUUGCGUAAUACCCUGGGGUGGAC